rnacentral:rRNA from 1 species
GAUGAACGCUAGCGGCAGGCCUAAUACAUGCAAGCCGAACGGCAAGUUUGAUAGCAAUAUUGGACCUAGAGUGGCGCAAGGGUGCGUAACACGUAUGCAACCUGCCCGCGACAGGAGGAUAGCUCCCCGAAAGGGGAAUUAACCCUCCAUAACACCAUGAGAAGGCAUCUGAUUAUGGUUAAACCGCAAGGGGUCGCGGAUGGGCAUGCGGUUGAUUAGCUAGUUGGCGGGGUAAAGGCCCACCAAGGCGGUGAUCAAUAGGGGUUCUGAGAGGAAGGUCCCCCACACUGGCACUGGGAUACGGGCCAGACUCCUAGGGAGGCAGCAGUAGGGAAUAUUGGACAAUGGUUGCAAGACUGAUCCAGCCAUGCCGCGUGCAGGAAGAAGGCCUUCUGGGUCGUAAACUGCUUUUUCCUGUGGAUAAAAUACCCGUGCGCGGGGAAUUGAAGGUAACAGGGGAAUAAGCCACGGCUAACUACGUG